CUAGGUCUCUUCAGGGAUCCUUCUGUGUCUAUGCUUCAACCGACCAGUGAUUCCACAACUGAGCCGGUCACUGAGUUUUGAAUCUUGGAAUCAUUAUCAGCACAUAUAAAGGAUGAAGAGAUGUUAGAAUGUCGACAGAGGAAAGAUACUGUGACACCUUAUGAUGAAGCCAGCAACCACAGCCACCACAACAGGGACUCCGCUGGUUCAGUUGGUAUGGGCCUGUGAGACAGUACAUCCCAGCAAGCUGUUCACCUCAUAGCCAAGAAUGACUGGCAAAGCUUAGCCUGUGUGAUUACAUCCUGGAAGUGAAACAGAGGGAAGCGGAUUGCUGACAUCACUGCCAUUAGGAUGAGCAAGAAGCUUCCCAUCCCCAAGACAACGGUGUCACCCACGGGCCAGGACAACAGUGUCACCCACGGGCCAGGCAGAUCUUAAUCUGUGACCCAGGAGCACAUGGCCAACAUUUAUUUUUAUUGUGAGAGAAUGUCAUACAUGCAUGUGAUGUGUUGGAUCAAACACACUUCCUAUCCAUUCCCUCUAGUUCCUCCCCUGUGCGCACUGUUUCUUUCUAAUUUUAUGUGCUUUCUUCCUAAAACCCACUAAGUUCACUCAAUGCUGCCAGCAUGUGCAUGGGUUGGAGGUCAUGCACUUGAACAUGGGUAGCCUUUCAGGGACAUAUUCCCCAUGAAAACUGACUCCACCCUUAACCCCAGCAGUCUUCAGUUGCCAAUAGCUGCUUCAGUGCUAAGGGUGGGAGUUCACACUUCCUCCUCCACCCAUGCUGGGGUUCAUUUACAUUGGUCUUAGAGCUCACACAUUCCAGUCUUGAUUACAUCUCACACAUUCAGUCACAGCCACUGUCCGCUCCUGUGUGUACAGCCCUUGGACAGCUCAGUUUGAUGGCAGUCGUCAUCUCUGGCUCUUACAAUCUGUCCACCAGCCUCUUCCUCAACAGUUCCUGGGGCAUGGCAAGCAUUUUGACUCCAGGGCUUCAUGAUACGCUUGCCCAAGUAUCACAGAGGGGGUGGGAGGAAGAUCUGUGGUAUAUCUACUAAGGGGCUGACAGUACUGGGGACAGGAGGAGCCAUGGCCCAGAACAAUGGGGGGAAACGGUUAAAGACAAACUGCAUCAAUUGGAGCUUCCUUGUUUGUUUUCUUUUGAAACCUUAAAGUUAUCCAAAUGGAGUGUUAAUUUAAAAAAAAAAAAAAGGAAUGUUUUCUUGGGAGAAGACAAUAUUUUGAAAUGUUUUAAUUCAUGAGAGCCUGUCUUCUUCGUUCUCUCAGUGCCGCGUGAGGCUGAACAAAUGUUCACCACAGCUAAUUAAUUAAGUUUGCAGAAAAGACCAGCAGGGGACUGGAAACUUGAAGUAGAAGUGAGCAUUUGAGUAUAAAUAUGCUGCCUGCCUGAGAGACUUUAUCUGGAUCGAGCAGUUGCUGACUUAUCCAAAGACACGCUGUAUCUCUGGGAAAAUCAGGCUUGGCAGGGGGAGAAGCAACACGGCUCUUGCUGGCAGCUCUAGUCAUUUAUUUCCUGGGUUUUGCGCGGUUCCAUCCACGCAGUAUUAUUCAAAUGUCCUCUCUGUGGAUGAAGGUGAUUCCAUGGACUUCUCGAAGAGAAAAGGGACCUCCCAGGGGAGGAGGUAUUUUUCUUUCUGAGCCAGGUUCUUUAUAAGACCCUUUUUACCCUGGGAGGAGUCUCCAGAUAUGGAUGAGGAAACACAAACUCAGAGAACUUAGCAGCUAACACAGGACAGGCCAUACGGAUGUGAGCUCUCACCUCCCUGAUGAUGCAGUCUUUCGGUGGCCUCCAUAACCCGGGAUGGGGAAAGAAGGCGUGCAGGGCAUCCUGGUAGCCUCUUGUAUGGUUUUAUGGCCACAUAAGGACAAUCAAGUGAAAUAACCAGAGCCACAGAAUUUGGAAAAUGAUCCUCAUACUUGAUUUGUAGACCACAGGUAGAGCAAUGUCAUGUCAGAUAGACUCCUGCAAAAGACUUCCGCAACAAUCAAAAGGCUUCUGAUUACAGUGGGCUGGCCAUACUUCCCUCAGAAAUUUGAAUCCAUACUUAGUAUUGAGAAGAAGAUAAGGGUAUUGAUGGCAGAAAUGCAGACCGAAAGAUGACAGUGCAGACAUAGCCCAGGACAGCCUUGGGGGUUGGGGAACAUCCAAACGUUGAGUAGAACAGCCAUGAUUAACAAGAGGUCUUUUCUAGUUGGAGAGGUAAUGCAGAGGCACAGAGAGCCAUGAAGCUGAGACAUCACCAACCUCCACAGUUUCUACAGCCCGUUGGUCUCUCAAGGUCUUUGGACUCUAGUCGUGAUGAUGUGUUAACCUUACCAAAACCUUCAGUCUCAUCAUUUUGACCUUUGCCCUGGCCAUUAGCACCACACAGAAUGAGACUUGUGGAGAAGUUCAUUAGAGAUGCUCUUAGCUAACUUAACUGUUGCGCUGGCUUCUGUUUUUUGUUGCUCUGAUAAACACCAUGACCAAAAGCAACUUGGGGAAGAAAGAGGCUUGCAGUUUACAGCCCAUCACCAAGGGAGGCAAGACAGGAACCUGGAGGAAGGAACUGAAGCAGACACUGAAUCAGACUCUGAAGCAGACCAUGGAAGAAUGCUGCUUCCUGGCUUGCUCCCAGGUCCACAUCUCUCUCUCUCUCUCUUAAGCAGUCCAGGCCCACCUUUCCAGGUAUGGCACUGCCCACAGUAGGCUGGACCCUCCCACAUUAAUUAGCUAUCAAGAAAAUGCGCCACAGACAUGCCCACAGGGCAAUCUGAUGGAGACAAACCCUUAAUAGAGAUUCCAAAUUCCUGGGUAUAUCAAGUUGACACCAAGUUUAGCCAUCACAGACCAAUUCACAAUUCUAACUGAAUACAUCAAUAGACAUCAAAAAGAAAAACCUGGAAUAUCUGAGGAUAAUUGCAUGUGGUCAUUUUAGAGAUUAAACAUGACAACCAUUCCUUAAGUCUUUCACCGAGUUUAUAAUGACUAUUCCUGCUAAAAAUUAUCAACAUGAAACCAAAACUUCACUAUCUAAAGUGAAAUAGUGAAAUAACAUACUAUUGAAACUUGACUGUAAAAUGUAACCUUGAUAAGUUAGAUUUUAUCAAAAUUUGAACAGAUAAAAAGAAAUUUGCUGACAGCUGAAAACUCCUGUUAUCACGGAUGACAACUCACAGUGGUAGAUGCUGUGAAAGAUGGAUUUUAUGUGGUCAAAAAACACUGAUCAAUAAAUAACAUCUCUCUCUAAAUUCACAUGAGAAAAAUCAGCUACAUGAAAAUUGUACCAACGAUUUCAGAUUGACGGGGAGGAAACCAGGGAAGAGUUGACUACUCUACAUAAAAAUCACUUUUGGAAUCAAUUGGAGCACAUGAUAAAUCUCCCAUCUGAAUACUAGGUUGCUGCAAGCUAAUGGUUUCUGUGUGGUAACUGCAACAUUAGAACAAAGCUGAAACAUUUCCAUUUAAAGUAUUUACAUAUAUAUAUGUAUAUAUUAUUAAUUCUUUGAGCUGCUCAUACAUGGAUACAAUGUAUCUUGAUCAGAGUCAUGCCCACUCCUUCCCUUAACUCUUCCCAGAUCAACCCCUCAUGUCUCUAUCCUUCUCCCCAUUUCAUAGCCCUUUCUCUUUAACAAGUCACUGAAUCCAUUUGUGCUUCCUAUAUAUUCAUGAGUGUGAGACCACCUACUAGAGCAUGGCCAACCUACCAAGGGAAACAUCUUUAAGGAAAAUGGUCUUUCCCUCCAGCCAUCAAUUAUUCAGAUCUCCUUACCUACUGUCGGGGUGGGAAUCCUGAGCCCCUCCUCAUUCUAUGCUUUAACAUGGACUGGCUGCUAUGUUCUAACAUGCUAUGCUCUAACAUGGAUCUGCUGCUGGCUAUCUCAGCUGCUCUGGAUCAUCAGUGCAGUGAUCCUGUCCUGUGCCGAGGACACUGCUUCAGUCUUGCUCCACUCCUCCCCAGCCUCUGGCUCUUGUAAUCUUCUCAUCUCCACUUUCUUGAUGGUCUUUGAGCAUGUUGAGAGGGUGUGAUAGAGAUGCCCCAUCUGUGGCUGAGCUUCCUACUGCCACUUACUCUAUGUGCUUUGACCAGUUGUAAAUUUCUGCAUCCACUGAACAAAGAAACUUCUAAUGAGGCCCACGAGUCGUGCUAAUCUAGGAGUAUGGAGAUACAAAUUAAGAGAACCAUUUGAUUCUAUGUCUAGUAAAAUUGUAGUAGUAGAUUCACCUCAAGGGCCUAUGAACUCUGCAGCCAUGGGCCCCUAGCCAGAUUUACAGGCUACUAGGUAUGUGUUUUCUCCUGUAGAGUGGGCUCUAAAUCCAAGCAGAAGUGGUCUGUUACCUCUGUAACAUUUGUACUACGGUUACAGCAUAGGCAUAAUUCCUACACUGCUCAGACACUUUAUUUGUAAAGAUAUUGAAGGAUAAAUAAAGGUGUUAGCUAAAUUAAAAUUCCAGAGGGAAACCUUUUCAUGCAUAAGCCAAGACUACUGGUCACCAUUUUUUUUUUCUGGAUACAAUUGUAAACAUGGAUCAGUCAGACUUGGCUUAGACUGUGGGACUAUACUAGGGAAAGGCAAUCCUGCAGAGGAAGCUGGCCAGAUGAGACCUAGAAGCCGUGGCCAAUUACCUCAAAGGACUUUUGCAGAGAGAUGAGGUAUGAUGAAGGCUGAAGCUGGAAAAGUAGAGCAGAAUGUCGCACUGCCUCCAAGUGCUUGGGAAGAUCCCACAGCAAACAUGCAAUUAUCAUUCAGAAUUCAAAACAGAAAGGAGAGAUAAAUAGAAUCUAAUGAAAAUGCAGGUUAGUGCCACCAAGUGUGCUUGAUGUUGGGCCAUACUGAAAUGAGCAGCAGUUCAUCUUCCUAUGUAAUGUUAAGUAGUUUGAAUAUACUCAAA
rnacentral:lncRNA from 1 species